UGGGGGAUAUUGCACAAUGGGCGAAAGCCUGAUGCAGCGACGCCGCGUGGGGGAUGAAGGCCUUCGGGUUGUAAACUUCUUUUGCUCUGAACAAGGCAUGCUAAUGGGUGUGUUGAGUGUAGGGGUUGAUUAGCGCCGGCUAACUACGUGCCAGCAGCCGCGGUAAUACGUAGGGCGCGAGCGUUGUCCGGAAUUAUUGGGCGUAAAGGGCUUGUAGGUGGCUGGUUGCGUCUGUCGUGAAAGCUCAUGGCUUAACUGUGGGUUUGCGGUGGGUACGGGCUGGCUUGAGUGCAGUAGGGGAGGCUGGAAUUCCUGGUGUAGCGGUGGAAUGCGCAGAUAUCAGGAGGAAUACCGGUGGCGAAGGCGGGUCUCUGGGCUGUUACUGACACUGAGGAGCGAAAGCAUGGGGAGCGAGCAGG
rnacentral:rRNA from 1 species